rnacentral:rRNA from 1 species
GACGAACGCUGGCGGCGUGCUUAACACAUGCAAGUCGAACGGAAAGGCCCUGCUUUUGUGGGGUGCUCGAGUGGCGAACGGGUGAGUAACACGUGAGUAACCUGCCCUUGACUUUGGGAUAACUUCAGGAAACUGGGGCUAAUACCGGAUAGGAGCUCCUGCUGCAUGGUGGGGGUUGGAAAGUUUCGGCGGUUGGGGAUGGACUCGCGGCUUAUCAGCUUGUUGGUGGGGUAGUGGCUUACCAAGGCUUUGACGGGUAGCCGGCCUGAGAGGGUGACCGGCCACAUUGGGACUGAGAUACGGCCCAGACUCCUACGGGAGGCAGCAGUGGGGAAUAUUGCACAAUGGGCGGAAGCCUGAUGCAGCAACGCCGCGUGCGGGAUGACGGCCUUCGGGUUGUAAACCGCUUUUCGCCUGUGACGAAGCGUGAGUGACGGUAAUGGGUAAAGAAGCACCGGCUAACUAAC